GCCGCGGUGGCGGAAUUGGUUUACGCGCACGACUUAAAAUCGUGUCCCUUAUGGGAUGUGGGUUCGAGUCCCACCCGCGGCA
rnacentral:tRNA from 1 species